UUUCCGUAGGUGAACCUGCGGAAGGAUCAUUAAAUUCACUAGUUUUCUAGUGUUGGGGGGCUUUGAAGCAUUCUACAAUGCCUAGAGGCCCCUGUCUGCACCCUUGUCUAUUGCGCACUCUCGUUUCCUCGGUGGGCUUGCCUGCCGAUAGGACAACAUUAAACCCUUUUAAUUUUCAAUCAGCGUCUGAAAACAAAUAAUAUUUACAACUUUCAACAACGGAUCUCUUGGUUCUGGCAUCGAUGAAGAACGCAGC
rnacentral:misc_RNA from 1 species